UACGGAGGAUGCGAGCGUUAUCCGGAUUUAUUGGGUUUAAAGGGUGCGUAGGCGGACUGUCAAGUCAGCAGUAAAAUUGAGAGGCUCAACCUCUUCCCGCCGUUGAAACUGGUGGUCUUGAGUGGAUGAGAAGUACGCGGAAUGCGUGGUGUAGCGGUGAAAUGCAUAGAUAUCACGCAGAACCCCGAUUGCGAAGGCAGCCUUCCGGCGCCCUACUGACGCUGAGGCACGAAAGUGCGGGGAUCGAACAGG
rnacentral:rRNA from 1 species